CUGGUUAUUAGGAUCGGCUAUUUUAUCGUAUCUCCGCCUUAUAUCUGCCGACUUCAUUUCAAAAGCAUUUCCACCAUCAACUUCUGCAUCAAAAGCCGCAACAUCUUCCACGGUAACCUGCAAUCUCGUCACCAUAUAUAUUAAUAAUAUAUGAUUCUAGGUUCAACCGUAGUAGUAGCAUCAUAUAUUAUUGAAUAAUAUAUAACAUAUGAUUCAUAUUAUUAUUGUUAUUGUCAAUGUGUCAAACUUCACAAUAAGAAACAAGGGCAAUGAAUGAGAAAAAGAUGAGGAGAUGAAGAAGUGAAGAACGCACUUAAGGUUUGAAUAGAGGUCGUGGUCGAGUAGAGGGAGGAAUAGAGGUGACCAGAACUGAUGCAGAGAGGUGACUAAAACUGAUGGAGGACCGAGAGAAGCGGUCGAAACGGAUGGAGAGAGGCGGCGACGAAACUGAUGGAGAGAAGGGGAGGAAAAGGUGCAGCCCGAACUGAUGGAAAUAGGCGGCGACGAUGUAACUGAUGGAGAGAUGUGGCAACAAUAGCUCUUUGAUGGCAUCGUGCGAGUGUGCGAGAGAGGGAGUAUGCAUAAUGGCCAAAAUAGUGAAGGGGAUGCUGAGAGGAGAUAGAUUUCACUUAAGGGUUAGCUUUCAACUGCCUAUGUGCAACUUUCGCUGCCUUGCAUCGCGGAAUUCGAUUCCUCAUCGAUUCCACGUCAAAUCCUGAACGAUUCAUCCACAGUUCGCUUUUUUAUGUAUGUUUUUCCCUAUGCGGGGCGUUUUGCCAGCGCCCUGGAGUUUUUUCAGCCUAGGCGAACCUUCUUGAACUUUGGUUUAGUCACAUGUGCUAGAGCUGGAGGUGGGAGGAGCUAGUCGGUUUGGUUUUCACGUUUUCAUGUAUUUCUGAACUUGGAGUUGCACUUUUCUGUUUCUACAGCUUGUAUUCAAGGUUCCAAGUUCUUUACUUAGUCCGUUAAGUCAAGGUUUAUUAAUUGAUUUGCUUCUACUUUACAUGCAUCUUCAUUGAAUGUUAUGCUAGUUUAGGUUAAAUUCUAACCAGUAAGAGCUCGAGUAGCUUACAUGGGUUGAACCAUUGGUUCGACCAAGUCUUCUAGAAUUGGGUCUUACAAGGCAGAAGUGCAGCUCACUGUGUUUCUCGAUAUGACCCAUAAUACCACAGACAUAGCAGAAGGUCUAGAAUUUUUCAUACCUGAAUUUACAGGUCACGGCCGUAUCGUGUAGACGAAUGAGCCACUCCAUCUUGAGAGGCGUGCAGACAUCCAACAUUACGCGCACAUGUAGGGUUCCCCAAAUGAAACAUCAUUCUUAUCGUUGUACCGUAGGUAGUCACCGGCAUAGCUUCCUAACGCACGACCCACUAUUUCUGAGAAGUAGCCAAACAGAAGGGCGUGAACCUGAAUCCAUCGAAAUUCUUGGGGGAGCUCGUGAAUGAUGAGCUGGAGACCAUCGAAAUUCCAUGGCCCGUCAUCCAUCACUCGACGGGCACGAGGAUACGGUUGAAACGGAAUGGGAAGAAACGGCCCUCCAAAGCAUCGGUCUCAACUCCAUUUCUCGGUUGCCAGAUGCUCGGCAGUGUGUGGCGCAUAGCAUGGAAGUUCACUACCUUCUUGAUGAGGAAACUGCCCACCAUGCACAGCUCGUAGUCCCAGACCGAUUGUUUUUCGACCAGGUCGACGCGAGAGAGGGUUUCCUCUACCGGGUAUGUGAGCGCAAAGCAGCAAAUUGUUGUUCAAUGGGAAUCACGGUCGCCAUUGCCAUCUAGUGUUGUUUGGUGCGGUAGUGGCAACAAUGAGGCAAGAAGAAGAAGAACCUUGGUCGAAAACCCUUCAGAUAAGAGAAAUCGCAACUCUCCUCUUAAAAACAUGUUUUAUAUCUCCUAAUUCAAUUAUUCUCUUACAGUCCCAAUUCAAUUUUCUUUCAAAAAUUUUAAUUAGAAAAUAUAACUUAAGUUGCGAA
rnacentral:lncRNA from 1 species